rnacentral:lncRNA from 1 species
AGCGUGGGGAAUACAAUUAAGGGGAAAUUCGUUCUCUGCUAAUGUAUAUUGCUGAGCUUUUGAAUUUUGAUUGGGAGUUUUAUUUUUAAAAAAAUAAAAUAGGGACAGUCACUUACACAAAUAUUUCGUAUCUUUAAAGUUUUAAAAAAUAAAUUGUUUUGAAUAAAUUGCGCUCUCACACAAAAAUCUAUAUUGUAGUUUCUCUUGAAGAACAGAAGCAGAGCUUUUAAGGAGGUCAGCCAGCCUCUGAGCCUCCACAUCCUCAUUUGUAGAAUGAGAAAAAUGGCAGCUUCCUUUCCGGGCAGCUUGUGCAACACAAAAAAUUGUCUCUACAAAAAAUUAAAAAAAAAAAAUAGCCGAGUGUGGUGGCAUAAGCCUGCUGUCCCAACUCCUUGGGAGGCUGAGGCAGGAAGAUCGCUUGAGCCCAGGAAGUGGAGGCUACAGUGAGCCCCAGUGCACUGGAGGUGACCAAAGGAGCAGGUCAUGGCUGUCCAGACACCCUAGGAAGAAUCUGCCACUUCAUACAACUUGGUUUUGAUGAGUGGCUGUGGCAGUGUUACAGUACCAAGUCAAAAGGUCAAAUUGAGCACUUGUCUUUCAAGUUGCCCGGUUGGCCCUCUUCCAAGUAUACUUUUCUUCCUUUGCUUCCUGUUCUAAAGCUUUUUGUUUUGUUUUGUUUUGAGACAGAGUUUCGCUCU